UUCCUACGGGGCGCAGCAGUCGGGAAUAUUGCGCAAUGGAGGAAACUCUGACGCAGUGACGCCGCGUAUAGGAAGAAGGUUUUCGGAUUGUAAACUAUUGUCGUGAGGGAAGAAGAUGACAGUACCUCAGGAGGAAGCUCCGGCUAACUACGUGCCAGCAGCCGCGGUAAUACGUAGGGGGCAAGCGUUAUCCGGAUUUACUGGGUGUAAAGGGAGCGUAGACGGCAGCGCAAGUCUGGAGUGAAAUCCCAUGGCUUAACCAUGGAACUGCUUUGGAAACUGUGCAGCUAGAGUGCAGGAGAGGG
rnacentral:rRNA from 1 species